ensembl:lncRNA
GCUGACUUAUGUAGGAUAAUGUGUCUAAUGUAAUGAGACAGAUCUUGAUGUUUAGUCUGCAUAAAGAGCUGGGCUUGGAUGUUUAGUCUGUGUUUACUUCUACAGCAGCUUUAGAUGUUUAAUCUGUCUCAGACUAGCUUUAAAUGUUUAGUCUUUGUGUAGAACUAGCUUUAGAUGGUUGUGUCUAUAACUAGCUUUAAAUGUUGAGUCUGUGUCUCAAACUAGCUUUAGAUGUUUAGACUUUGAACUAGCUUUAGGUGUUUAGUCUGUGUCUAGAACUAGCUUUAGAUGUUUAGUCUAGAACUAGCUUUAGAUGUUUAGUCUGUAACAAGCUUUAGAUGUUUAGUCUGUGUCUAGAACUAGCUUUAGAUGUUUAGUCUGUGUCUAGAACUAGCUUUAGAUGUUUAGUCUGUGUCUAGAACAAGCUUUAGAUGUUUAGUCUGUGUCUAGAACUAGCUUUAGAUGUUUAGUUCAGAACUAGCUUUAGAUGUUUAGUCUGUGUCUGGAACUAGCUUUAGAUGUUUAGUCUGUGUCUAGAACUAGCUUUAGAUUUUUAGUCUGUGUCUAUAACUAGCUUUAAAUGUUGAGUCUGUGUCUCAAACUAGCUUUAGAUGUUUAGACUUUGAACUAGCUUUAGGUGUUUAGUCUGUGUCUAGAACUAGCUUUAGAUGUUUAGUCUAGAACUAGCUUUAGAUGUUUAGUCUAGAACUAGCUUUAGAUGUUUAGUCUGUGUCUAGAACAAGCUUUAGAUGUUUAGUCUGUGUCUAGAACUAGCUUUAGAUGUUUAGUCUGUGUCUAGAACAAGCUUUAGAUGUUUAGUCUGUGUCUAGAACAAGCUUUAGAUGUUUAGUCUGUGUCUAGAACUAGCUUUAGAUGUUUAGUUCAGAACUAGCUUUAGAUGUUUAGUCUGUGUCUAGAACUAGCUUUAGAUGUUUAGUCUAGAACUAGCUUUAGAUGUUUAGUCUGUGUCUAGAACUAGCUUUAGAUGUUUAGUUCAGAACUAGCUUUAGAUGUUUAGUCUGUGUCUAGAACUAGCUUUAGAUGUUUAGUCUAGAACUAACUUUAGAUGUUUAGUCUAGAACUAGCUUUAGAUGUUUAGUCUGUGUCUAGAACUAGCUUUAGAUUUUUAGUCUGUGUCUAGAACUAGCUUUAGAUGUUUAGUCUAGAACUAGCUUUAGAUGUUUAGUCUGUGUCUAGAACUAGCUUUAGAUGUUUAGUCUGUAACUAGCUUUAGAUGUUUAGUCUGUGUAUAGAACUAGCUGUAGAUGUUUAUUCUGUGUAUAGAGCUAGCUGUAGAUGCUUAGACUGUACCUAUAUUUAUUCUCUGUAUGGAGUUGGCGCUGAACUGUCUCUGGGUCUAGGACAUGUUCUCUGUCAGAAUCUGUCUCUAGAAGCAAGAGGCAUCCCAAAAUGCAAUGUAAUAAAAUGUAAUGCUUCAACUACAGUGAGCAUGUUGUAUGCAGAGCCUAUAUUCCUCCUGAAGCUGACAAGUCCAUAAUUUCAGAUUUAUAUUCCGAAGCACCACAUCAAUUUGUUUAGAGAUAUAUACAAGAUAGUGAUGGUUUCACCUCCUUUCAGAUUUUGGUGUCAGCAAGGUGUCAGAUCGAGUCUUCAGUAAAAAGGAUUAUCAAUCUGCUGAUUUCUGCUUUCCACUCGUCUUGGCCUGUGAGGUUAUUAUGCAUUCCUGCACUUGGUGCAAAAACACAGCCGCUCAGGGUGAAACUACGCAUGAAGCAUGGAGUCUCACAUUAACCUUCAGUACAACAUGACGUUCAACAAGCGGCACAUUCAAGUCUCACACACACACACACACACACAUACACACACAGUCACACACUUUCAGUCCGUACAGGGCCAUUUGGUGUUGCUGAUACCUGUGUAGCUUCUAUUGCUUAAAGUCAAAAAGUAGCAUUUAACAUUUGAUAUGUAGUAAAACAAAUUGGAUUUUGCGCAUUGACAAAGAGAGCAAAUGCUGUUUGCCUUGUUCCCAGUUAUAGAUUGAUCAAACCCUGCAUCACUCACUUUUUUCUGUCCGCUUUUAUUUCUGAUAACGGUUUUGAAUUCUCGUUUUAUAAUCUGACUGUUUUUCCGAUGUUUUUUUUUUUUUUUUUAUACAGCAUGAAUAGAAAUAACCUCAGACGUUCUAGUAGCGUAAACCUCGUUUCGACAGCAUCAGUCGCAAAGACUCGAGAAUCACUGAGCAUGGUUUGGAAUUAUAUACAGUCGGCUAAUCUGCUUGAAGAUCUGCGUGAUGGCCAUUGGCUCUGACAAGCUUCCAGCUCCACCACUGACACCAGCAUGCAGAGCUUUGCCUCAUGUUCCAACUCACACCUAAUGGAAUGUGAAGAGCUUAAGAGCAGAACCGGCAAGGAAGCUACCGUCAGUGUGUCCAGCGUAGUCAGCCUCUCUUUCUUUCCCUCGUCUUCUCCACCAGCGCACCAGCUCGGACUAAUUAAGGCCUGCCCAUGAACCAACAUGUACCUGUCAGCAUGUAGCUGUUUCUACAAACUCAAUGACUUUGGGGAGAAAUUAGUUUGAAUUCCAGCUAAGCUUGAACAAAUUGCAAAGUGGUUCACGAGACACACCCAGGUUUCUCUUUGACCUGACAGUAUUAUGUCGAGAAACGUUUUUAAUGAUUACACAGAGAACUGUCAUACUGUGGGAGGGAAUCUAUAAUGAAUCUCGAAUGCUGUUUUCAUAUGGUUCUUGAUACUUGGAACACGUUCAGUGCCAAAUAAAUUGAUCGAGUGUUUUGGGAUUAAUUGUGCCAGUCAGUUAUUAUGAACAUGCUUUAAAUAAUAAAAUGAUUUGUCAUUAAAAUCUCGUCUGCUAUUGUGAUCAACUUAUAACUAUGUAGUCUAACAUUCUGACAUAUGCUCAAAUCCACUGUAUUCUCUUUAACGGUUCAGUAGAGGCACGAGGCAGCACGGUUUGUAUCCCAGCUCUCAAAACAAUUAUGUCUCUUUAAAUACCCUUUCUAUCGCCAGCGGCCAUCCCUGUGGCUCGGACGAUCGCUUAAAGUUUAAUGACGCCAGCUUCAGGGAAGCCUUUAUUUCCCUUCCACUUGUGUUUGUCCCAUGAUUUGCUAAAAUUUAACAUCCAGCAAGUGCACUGGGAUUAAUAAAAAGGAAACAGCAGAUUUUAACCGCUUCAGUAAGUCAAAGUCUAGUUCUGAACAUUUAAUUCAGGUCUAGACCAGGUUUUAGCCAGGUCUUUCCAGCUAAAUUUGAAUAUUUUCUUUGGGUCUAGAUAUGUUUUUGUAUAUUUGUCUGGUAACUAGAACUGGA